rnacentral:rRNA from 1 species
UCGCCUGUUUAUCAAAAACAUGUCUUCUUGACUAUAAUUUGAAGUCUGACCUGCCCACUGAAUUGUUAGGAUUUGAAGGGCCGCGGUAUUUUGACCGUGCAAAGGUAGCAUAAUCAUUAGUCUUUUAAUUGGAGGCUGGUAUGAAUGGUUGGACGAGGCAUUGACUGUCUCAGUGUAAAUGUUAUUAGAAUUUAACUUUUAAGUCAAAAGGCUUAAAUAUGUUUAGAGGACGAGAAGACCCUAUAGAGCUUUAUAUUGAAUGUGUACAUUUUAUUUAGUUGUAUUUUGAAUGUAGGCAGUAAAAUAUUUGGUUGGGGUGACAGGAAGAUAAAGUAAACUCUUUUUAUAUGUAAACAUUGAUUUAUGAAUAGUUGAUCCAUUAUUAGUGAUUAUAAGACUAAGUUACCUUAGGGAUAACAGCGUAAUCUUUUUUGAGAGUUCUUAUCGACAAAAAGGGUUGCGACCUCGAUGUUGGAUUAAGGGUAAUUUUGGGUGUAGAUGUUCAAAGUUUAGGUCUGUUCGACCUUUAGAUCCUUACAUGAUCUGAGUUCAAACCGGAGA